rnacentral:lncRNA from 1 species
ACUACCACAGCUCAUUUUCAGCUAUUUAAGGGCUGGUAGAAGGGUUUAAUUCACCUACACACAACCCCAAGUCGGGGGGGGAAGAGGUGGAUCACCGCCCUCCUCCCAGGGAGUUUAAUGAAAAUAGGUAAGAGAGGCCUCGGCAGCACGCUGAAAACCACAGAGGGCGGCCGGAGGGUCGGGUUGCGGAGGACAGGCUGAUCCUCGGGCCCCACCUCCCCACACCUUCCCGGCAAGACGAGGGAGGCGAGGAGCUCAUUACAGCCUUCGUUAAUUGACACCUGUAAUGAAGAAACUUUCCGAAAGCCGAAGCCGCUCGGGCCCGGCCGGGCCGGACCUCGGCCGCAGCCGCCUCCCCGGCGUCCAGGUAACCCGGCCGAGCUGGGCCCGAGGCGCCGCGGCAGGCGCGCCACCGCGCACCUUCCCAGGCCGCUAGGCCCACACGCCGCCCCGCCCGCGCCUCCCGCAGGCGGCGGCGUCCGGAGUAGGCCGGGGAGCGGCGCGGGGAUCCCAAACCGUGCACCCCGACAGGCCGCCGCCGCGGCUACUUACUUUCAUUUAACACCUCCACCAGGUCUGCGCAGUUCUCGCACAUCGUUCGGCCGCCGCCCCCCCCCUCCCCCGCUACGGAUCACACAGCCAGAUCCCUACCGGCGAGGGGGAGGGGAGAGAGGCGGAGGAGGGGGCCGGCCGGCCGGGCGGGCGGGGAGGCGACUAGGGCUGGCGGCGGCGGGGACGGGGCGGGGAGCAGGAGAAUGGGGGGAGGGGGCCGGCGGUCCCCGGAGCGGGCGGGGGAGAGAAGGGGGGCGAGGGGAGGUGCGCAGGCCGGAGGGGCGCGGAGGCGCCGACGGCGGGGAAGGGGGGGAAGGACAAGGGGAGGGGAAAGGGAGGGAGGGGGCGGGUGGGGAGAGAAGCAGCAGAGUCACUUCACCGACCAGACGCCGCGGCCACCGCUGACGCCGCCGCCAUUUUAAUAGGGCGCUCGGGNNNNNNNNNNNNNNNNNNNNNNNNNNNNNNNNNNNNNNNNNNNNNNNNNNGGGUGGGGAGGAAGCAGCAGAUCUCUUCACAGCCCGGAGGCCGCGGCCACCGCUUACGCCCCGACAUUUUAAUAGGGCGCUCGGGCUGCGCUCGGCUCUUUCCGCUUGUGCGAGGGAGCCGACGAGAAGCGCCUCGCGCUCUCAUUCCUCCUCCUCCCGCCCUCUCCUCCCCUCGCGUCCUCCCACCUCUGCUUCUGAACACACGCUGCACGCUCCACACCCAGCGGCGGCCGCCUCACCGCCCUCCCUUUCCUCUUCCGUCCGGCCUCCCCGCCCUCGGUCCACCCCCUCGGCGUGCUCGCCCACUCCGCCCAGCCCGGAUCUCUGUCAGCGGCCGGAAGGGAAACGCGAAGCCAGCGCGGGCGCGGGGGGAGUCCGGUUUUUGGGCAUCUUUCUUCUUGUCAUCCUUGGACUACACGGCAAAACUCAGCAGUUGCAGCCUCUACAGCCUUGAGGAGGUGAUGUUUUACAUAUUAUGGCCAGAGAAGGCUUCUCUGAUAAGGAUGAAAUUUGAGCAAGAAUUUAGGAAGCCUUGGGACUAUCUGGGGAAAAGAUAUUCAAGAAUAAUAAAUGUAAAGGCCCCAAGAUUAAUGUUCUUGGGUAGUAGAGUUGGGUUUAAAAACAGUCUAAGCACUAUUGGCAUUUUGGGUCAGAUAAUUCUUUGCUGGAGAGUGGGGUUGGGGACUGUCCUGCACAUUGUAAGAUGUUUAGCAGCAUCCCUGACCUCUCCCCCUAGAAGGAAACAACAACCUCCUCCCUGCCUAUUACCCAGUUGUGACAACCAACAUGUCUAUAGACAUUGA